CCUACGGGAGGCAGCAGUAGGGAAUAUUGCUCAAUGGGGGAAACCCUGAAGCAGCAACGCCGCGUGGAGGAGGAAGGCUUUAGGAUUGUAAACUCCUUUUGUUAGAGAAGAUUAUGACGGUAUCUAACGAAUAAGCACCGGCUAACUCCGUGCGAGCAGCCGCGGUCUUACGGAGGGCGCAAGCGUUACUCGGAAUCACUGGGUGAAAAGGGUACGUAGGCGGGGGAAUAAGUCAGAUGUGAAAUCCUGUGGGUUAACAACAGAACUGCAUUUGAAACUGUUCCUCUGGAGUGUGGGUGAGGUAGGUGGAAUUCUUGGUGUAGGGGUAAAAUCCGUAGAGAUCAAGAGGAAUACUCAUUGCGAAGGCGACCUGCUGGAACAUUACUGACGCUGAUGCACGAAAGCGUGGGGAGCAAACAGGAUUAGAUACCCGAGUAGUC
rnacentral:rRNA from 1 species